AGGCCUUUGGGCUGUAAACCUCUUUUCUCAAGGAAGAAGAUCUGACGGUACUUGAGGAAUAAGCCACGGCUAAUUCCGUGCCAGCAGCCGCGGUAAUACGGGAGUGGCAAGCGUUAUCCGGAAUUAUUGGGCGUAAAGCGUCCGCAGGCGGCCGUUUAAGUCUGUUGUUAAAUCGUGGAGCUCAACUCCAUCACGGCAAUGGAAACUGUUCGGCUUGAGUAUGGUAGGGGCAGAGGGAACUUCCGGUGUAGCGGUGAAAUGCGUAGAUAUCGGGAAGAACACCAGUGGCGAAAGCGCUCUGCUGGGCCAUUACUGACGCUCAUGGACGAAAGCCAGGGGAGCGAAAGGGAUUAGAUACCCC
rnacentral:rRNA from 1 species